CCCACACCGCUGAGGUCGCCCUACGUCGACCCAGCUGAAGUUGGUAAACUUUGAUUAAACUUUGAUUAAAAAAUACUGUGAAGCUGCCACGUGUGCUCCCGAAAGUGUAAUUGUUAUGGAGAAACACCACACGGCCUCACAACGAAGAAGAACGUUAGCUUAAGUCAUUCAUGAAACAACCAGCAGAGUUAGCGUGAGCUGCUCUCACGCUGCGGCUAAUGCUGUUAGCCGACAGCUACGACGUGGGCGGAGGUGAGCGGGACAACAGCGACAGGUGGAUGUUGUGUUGUGGAGAGUAACUACGAGUAACUACGUCAGCUCUAUGAAGGAAGGAGACAAGUGAUGAUCCACUGGACCGUCGUUUACGAAAGGAAAGGAGGUGACUGCAGCUGGCUGUUCAGGAAAGCAAACGAUCAACACGACCAACAAAUCAUCAUCUGCUGCUUCAGUCCCUCCAUCUCUGACUGCUUCUCCUGCAGGACACACGGGGACACUGGGUUUAAACCGGGACUUCAAGCUGGGAGCACAGUGACACCACAGUUCUCCUGCAGAGACAGCACACUGUUAGACGAAUGGGAGGACGUCCUGAUUGGACCUGACUGAGUUGUCACUCAGCAGGAAGCCCCGCCCUCAAGUGUUCCCUGCUCUAUGGGCUGUUUGACUCUAGAUGUGACUGUAAUUUACACAACGAACUUCAUGCUGUGUUGAAGAAGACUUGAAACUGGCGACUGAUGAGGAAACGGUUGACUUGCUGUUGAAGGACUUCACACAAAGGCUGCAUAACUUUCACCUUUAAAACCCUCCGCCAACCAGACUUCCUGUGUGGGACUGCGAGGCCACGACGCGCAGCUGACGCCAUAUGCAUACGUGAAAACAUGCUUCAUUUACUUGUACUUUUCAUACUUGAGUUUCUUGCCAGAAAGCUUCUUUAAAUAUUUUAGUACAUUUAACAUCAGAUACUUUUACUCGAGUAUUAUUUGUAUAUCUGAGUGUUAUUUUUACUUAAUAUUUUAGCACUUUCACUUUUUACCCAGCGGUGAUGUCACCGUGUGACGGCUAACGAGUCAACAGCCGCACUGACCUCAGCCUCCUUCAGUCGCCUCUCGAACCAUCCUUUGGUUCCCUCCAUGGACAGAACCUGAGCCUGCAGCUCCUCCACCUGCUGCUGAAGACCCUCCAGCUCUUUGGUCCGAGCCUGACAACACACACGCACACACAGGGAUAGUGUUGAUGUGGAGGAGGAGCACAAUCACAACACACUGCUGGUUUGAUGUCAGACAGACAGACUGACAAGAAUUCACUUUCCAGACUUCCUCAUCUUUAACUUCCUGUCCUUGGUUCGCCUACUUCCUGUCUGUGCCCUCCUUAUUUCGCUUCCUGUUUACCUUUUCAUCUCUAAGCUGUUGUCGGAUCUCCUCCUCAGAGCGAUUCUUGUCUUCAUGGAGUCCUCUGAGCUCCCUCUCAUAUCGAGCCCUCACCCCGAGGACCUAAGAGGGGGAGGAAACAAGGAGAGGAAACAGGACCGGCGGGUCAGAUUCCAGCGUGAUGGUUUGCAUUUGUAUGUGUUUGAGCUCUCUGUGCCUCACCUCCUUCUCGUGCUGCAGUUUGAGGUCUGACAGCGCCUCCUUGUGGUCAGACUUCUCCUGGUUCAGCUGUAUGGCCAUGUCGUCCAACAUGGCCUUCCUCUUCUCUGCUGUCUGUUCCCGCACACACACACACACACACACACGUUAUGUUGUGAUUAAUGUUAGUGUGUUUAAAAGCUUAAAGGUUCUGUGUGUGUGCGUGUGUGUGUACCUUCUUAGCUUCGUCCAGCUCUCUCAGCAGUUUGUCCUUCUCUUGUCCUUCUUCUGUUAACUGCUCCAACAACUUCCUGUUGGCAAAAUUUGACUCCUGAAAGAAGGAAAGAGACAGACGGAGGAACCAGGACGUCAACAGAGUGCAGACGUCUCGUUCAACAAAUGUUUGCAUCUUUGUCCCACUGAGGACACAAUGAAGAGAAAAAUGCAAAAAAGAAAAGAAUCGAAAAUAAACAAUGUUGUUUUUGUGAUGUA